CACAGAGGGAAGCAAGCAAGCAGGGAGGCAGGAGGUGGCAAGGGCAGUGAGCAGUGGGCUGGCAGGCAAGUGGGUGGCAGCGCCAGAGGAGGAAAGAAACAUGCAGCCUUUCAAAAGCUAGAAAACAAAACUUGCCAAAGGAUGGAAUUUCCAUGUGCGAUGAGGUUAGGAUCUGACCCUUUUCCUAGUAUAGCUGAUAUGCCAGGUCCACUGAUUUGCCUACAGUGAAUGAGAUCCAGAAACCCACCUUUUGGUUAUGAACACCUUCUGAUUGGUAACUUCUGCAUGGGAAGCUAGAAGCAGUACACCAAAAAAGAGCUAAAUGAGUCGACUUUUAGGCCGAGAAGUGAAAGACCAAAUUCUAUUCCUGGAUCCUUGUAAUAAAAAACAUUUUGAAACCA